UUCUUAAUGACAACUGGCACUACUGGCAGUUUUGACACACCUAUGCAGUUAUGAUUCAUUUUUGAGAUAAACAAUAGGGUGAAUUUAUUUUUCUUUUAGUCAGAUUUAGUAAUAAACUAAGCUCGUUUAGUAGUGUAUUUACUACCGAUUUACGUUUUAUUUUGUAUAUAGCUAAGUCUCAAUUAAAAAUGAUGACUGACCGCUUCGGUUUAAAAUGGGACCCGAAAAACUUAGAGAUAAGAACCAUGUCUGUGGAAAAGACAUUGGAACCCCUAGUGCUUCAAGUUACCACCCUCGUCAAUACCAAGGGGCCUAGCAAAAAGAAGAAAGGAAAGUCUAAACGUGCCAAUGCUCUGGUUAGUACUGUUGAAAAAGCCACCGAAAACUUCAUAGAAAAGGGGGAGCAGAUAGCCUAUGAGAAUCCAGAUAUUACUGAGGAAAUGCUGGCAGCUGUUGACGAAGUCAAGAAAACGGGACAUGCUAUGAGCGGAGCUGCAAGAGAAUUUUCAGAAGACCCAUGUUCUUCUUUAAAAAGAGGAAAUAUGGUUAGGGCUGCUAGAAAUCUUUUAUCGGCUGUAACUCGUCUUUUAAUUCUAGCGGACAUGGUUGAUGUCCACCUUUUGCUCAAAUCCUUACAUGUAGUUGAGGAUGACCUCGAAAAACUAAAAAAUGCUUCAAGCAAUGGCGAACUUUUAGACAAUAUUAAAGCCUUUGGUCAAAAUGCCAACGAAUUAAUGAAUCAGGCUGCUAAAAGGCAGCAAGAACUGAAAGAUCCACAACUUCGUGAUGAUCUAGCAGCUGCUAGAGCUGUACUUAAGAAACAUUCCACUAUGUUAUUAACUGCCUCUAAGGUUUAUGUACGUCAUCCAGAGCUAGCAGCUGCCAAAGCAAAUAGAGAUUAUGUCUUGAAACAAGUUUGUGAAGCUGUGAAUACCAUUAAUGAUGUAGCUCAGGGAAGAACUCCUCAACCUGCUUCUGGACCAUAUGAUGGACCUGGAGAGUUGGCUGCUGCUUUGGAUGAUUUUGAUGAUCACAUGGUAAUGGAGCCUCUAGCAUACAAUGAAGUUCAUACCAGGCCUUCAUUGGAAGAACGUCUAGAAAGCAUUAUAAGUGGUGCAGCUCUUAUGGCAGAUUCUAGUUGUACUAGGGAUGAAAGAAGGGAAAGGAUAGUUGCAGAGUGUAAUGCUGUAAGACAAGCUUUGCAAGACUUGUUGACUGAAUAUAUGACAAAUAUGGGCAAUAAAGAUAAAAGUGAGAGCCUAAUACGAGCAAUCGACAAUAUGGGUAGAAAGACUAAGGAUUUAAGAAGACAACUGAGAAAAGCUGUUGUAGAUCAUGUAUCUGACAGUUUCUUGGAAACCAACGUACCUCUUCUCGUUUUAAUAAAGGCAGCUCAAAAUGGCAACGAAAAGGAGGUAGAAGAAUAUGCAGUUGUAUUUACUGAACAUUCCAAUAAGUUAGUAGAAGUUGCUAACCUUGUCUGCAGCAUGUCUAAUAAUGAAGAUGGUGUCAAAAUGGUUAGAUAUGCUGCUGCUCAGAUCGACAAUCUGUGUCCUGAAGUAAUAAAUGCAGCUAGAAUUUUAGCCGCUAGACCUCGCAGUAAAGUUGCUCAAGAAAAUAUGGACGCAUUCAAGCAAUCAUGGGAGAAUCAAGUGAGACUUCUGACUGAAGCAGUCGAUGACAUUACUACUAUCGACGACUUUUUGGCUGUUUCUGAAAACCAUAUUCUGGAAGAUGUUAAUAAAUGUGUACUUGCCUUGCAAGAAGGUGAUUCUGACACAUUGGAUCGCACUGCCAGUGGUAUAAGAGGAAGAUCCAAUAGGGUGUGCAAUGUAGUAACAGCUGAAAUGGAUAAUUACGAACCUUGCAUUUAUACCAAACGUGUUCUUGAAGCCGUCAAAGUAUUGAAUGAUCAAGUGAUGCCCAAGUUUACUCAAAGAGUGCAAGUUGCAGUUCAAGCUUUGGGAAAUAGUCCUCCCAAAGAAGUGGAUGAAAACGAUUUUAUCGAUGCUUCUAGACUUGUUUACGAUGGAGUGAGAGAAAUAAGAAGAGCCGUUCUAAUGAAUAGAGCCGAUGAAGAUUUAGAUCCAGAAGAUGUCGAAUUGGAUGAAAACUAUCUAAUAGAAACAAGAAGCAAAUCGAGCGCUCACACAGGCGAACAUGGAGUUGAUGAGUAUCCAGAUAUUAGUGGAAUUACAACGGCUAGGGAAGCUAUGGGUAAAAUGCCGGAAGAAGAUAAACAGAAGAUUUUGCAACAGGUUGAGUUCUUCAGGAGUGAAAAACUCAAGUUUGACCGUGAGGUCGCUAAAUGGGACGACACUGGCAACGAUAUUAUCGUUCUUGCUAAGCACAUGUGUAUGAUUAUGAUGGAAAUGACAGAUUUUACCAGGGGUCGUGGCCCUCUAAAAACCACUAUGGACGUUAUUAAUGCGGCUAAAAAGAUUUCCGAAGCUGGAACCAAAUUAGAUAAACUUACUCGCCAAAUAGCUGAACAGUGCCCAGAGAGUUCCACCAAAAAAGAUUUGUUGGCUUAUUUGCAACGUAUUGCUCUUUACUGCCACCAGAUGAACAUUACAUCAAAGGUUAAAGCCGAUGUUCAAAACAUCAGUGGAGAACUUAUUGUAUCUGGGUUGGACAGUGCUACUUCUUUGAUUCAAGCUGCUAAGAACUUGAUGAAUGCUGUAGUUCUCACAGUAAAAGCUUCAUAUGUGGCAUCCACCAAAUACCCAAGACAAGGAACUAUUGCAUCGCCGAUUGUUGUCUGGAAGAUGAAAGCGCCAGAGAAGAAGCCGUUAGUCAGACCAGAGAAACCCGAAGAAGUUCGUGCCAAAGUACGCAAAGGCUCACAAAAGAAAGUUCAAAAUCCAAUUCACGCUCUUUCUGAAUUCCAAAGCCCAACUGAGUCUGUGUAAACGUAAACCUUUAUCCAUUAAUAUAUUAACCAGAUGUUAACUAUUAUUUGCCUGAUUAUUCUGUGACAUUUUCUAUGUACCUAUAGAUUCGUAUUAAUAUAAAGUCUGAUUAGAGGCAUGUUCAAGUUCAUUUAACAUUUGAACAGUACAUAGUAAGUCCGUAGUUUCAUCAAGUGUUAAAUACAGUGUGUUCUAACGAAAAUAUGACCCCCUCCCAGAAACUGAGAAACCAAGAGUUUCUUCACAAUUUAAAAAUCACGUCAAUUUGUAUUGGAAGAGGGACGAAUGUUCAUGCAAAAUUCAUGCCCUCAGAUGUAACCCCCUACUGCCCCCCAGUUUUUUAAAAUAGCAAGUGUUGUCGAGUUGCACAUCAUUUGAAAGGUAUUUUUUUUCUCUACACGACCAGCUAUUUUUUUUAUUUGCGGAAUAACUUAAAAGACAAUUUUGGAUUUAACUAAUUUAUAAUACAUUUGUUAAGUCCAGAAUUAUCUUCAAACUUAUUACUUAAUUAAAAAAAAUAGAGUGGCAUGUAGAGAAAAAAAAUUACCUUUCAAAUGGUGUGCCUUGCUAUUAAAAAAAGCUGGGGGUUGAUGCGGGGCAGUAGGGGGUUACAUUUGAGGGCAUGAAGUUUGCAUGAAAAUUCGUCCCCUUCCUAUUAUAAAUUGACGUGUUUUUUAAAUUUUGAAGAAGCUCUUGGUUUCUGAGUUUCUGGGGGGGGGGGGGGGGUCAAAUUUUCGUUGGAACAGACUAUAUAAGAAUAUGCCCGAGAGGUCGACAAACGAUAUAACAACUGCAAGUUGACACAUUUCUAACUUGAAAAAUGAUUAGUUAUUUUGUAUAGCUCGUAUAAAGACUAGUGUAUUGCCAAAUAUACACCCCGGUAAUAUUUUAUAUUUAUUUAUAAAAUCGUUAAUCAUAAUAAAUAUCACUGAUUUUUACAAAAAAUACGCAAUAUUGGUUAGAACAAUCAAGUUUUUAAUAUUCCAAAACAAUAUCGCACCUCCGCUCAAAUAGUUGUCAUAACUCAAAAAAUUUUAAAAUCGGUUUGAUUGCACCAACAGUUUAAUAAAACUAUAAACUCGUAUCUUACAAAGUGUCACGUCUAUGGGUCAAGUAUUUAUCGUUAGAUGACACUAGUGUCAUUAUACGAUUAGCCAAAAUCAACGACGCACCGAACACAAACAGUGACACAUAUCGACUUGUGCAAGGCAUUUGCACAUCGAAGAUGUGUAUUAAGCAUCGUUUGUCGAGUUACAGUAUAUGUGAUUAAUUUAUUCAAAACAAUCUGCGUAUGUGCUCAACAUUUAUCACUUAUUUAUCUUUCAUUUUGCAGUAUUUUGUGUUUAAUGUUGUUACUUGUAUUUAAAGUUACAUCAUUAAAAGGUAUAAGUCUGUUAACCAGACAAUAAUAAUAUUAUAUUCUGUACUGCAAGUGUCACUUUUGAUAAAUAAUAUUUCGUAAAUUUUUCGUUAUUUUAUCUGUAUAGUGUCACAACUCAAAAAGAAAAUGAUUUUUUUAAAUAUUUUUAAUAUACUUAAUACGCUAUUUUAUACAGCUUCAAAAACCAUUGCAACUGACUAAAAUAGUUAUUCUAAUUUUAAUAGUUUUUGAAUUAAACCCGAAAAUGUUGUAGGACAAACUUUAAACGUCGUUUUCUCGAAACUUUUCAUUUUUGACUUAUGACACUCUUUGAACGGAAGUGCGAUAUGUCGGACAUGCGCCAAGAAGUUUUUCGUUACAUUUGACCGUGUUGCCAGUUUCAACCUUUAAAAGAUCUAAAAAUUUAAUGAAAAUUACUUAAGUUAAACAGAUGGAUGCAAUCCUAAUAACUUGGUGGGUAUGGAUAUAACGAUGCGACAGCGGUAAAGAAUGCAUGCAUCCUCUUCUUCCGAUCAGAAAAUCUUCUUUUGAAGUAAAAUUUUUCAAGAUAACCCACAAAAUGGUCUUUCCUUAUUCCAUACUUGGGAAUGGUGGUCCAAAUUUCCCUCCAGAGUCCAAAGCCAAAUCCGUGGCUUUAAAUGUAAGAAAGUUGCCAAGAUAAUUAUUUCCUUUACUGGCAGUUUACUCGCUUCCAAGAAGGUCCCUUUCUUUUUCGUGUCCUAAACUAUUUUCAGUUGUUUUGCGUAAUCAGCAUUCGCCUAUUCGCCAAUCCAAAGGUUUUUUUGAGAAGAUGAAAAAUCGGAUUUUGGAGGUAAUGUUACUAUUAUUAGUAAAUUGAGCCAUAUGCUGGCGCUCUUAUAUAAAAUAUAAACAUUUCUAAUAUCUUCAAAAUGAUCUGUUGUUCAAAUGUUCACAAAAUAUUUAUUUAUAUACCCCUGUUUAAAUUUAAUCAAAACUUUCACAAGUCGUAGUCACUAGUGAGUGAGAGUAGUGAGUUAGUGACUGAACUCGGUCCUAAUUAUUCUGAUAUUGUAUCACUUGGUUUUAUUUAUUUUUUUUUUGAAACAGUAGUUGAUACUAAUGUAAUCGAGGAGCAGUAAAUAAAUAACAAGAUGGCUCUAGGUUGUCGUUAAACACUUUAUUACAUUUAUGUAAAAACAAACGUUGACUACCAUCUAAUAUCUAACUAAGGUUAAGUCUAUCUUCUAUAAAACAUAGCCGCACCCAUUUGUGCGGGAACCAGUGUGUCCAACGGCUGUCACAUGCGUUAAGCCAAGUCUACAUGUGUUAAGCCGUGUCUACACUGUUUCUCACGAUACUACAGAUACUUUUGUUGAUUUUUCUUUUAAGACCGAAGCAGGUCCUUUAAAUUGCGUUUCUUAUAUAAAAUAUAAACAUUUUUAAUAUCUUCAAAAUGAUCUGUUGUUCAAAAGUUCACAAAAUAUUUAUUUAUAUACCCCUGUUUAAAUUUAAUCAAAACUUUCACAAGUCGUAGUCACUAGUGAGUGAGAGUAGUGAGUUAGUGACUGAACUCGGUCCUAAUUAUUCUGAUAUUGUAUCACUUGGUUUUAUUUUUGUUGAAACAGUAGUUGAUACUUUGGUUGAUUUUUCUUUUAAGACCGAAGCAGGUCCUUUAAAUUUAUAAUAGUCUUUGUCAAGGCUAUUAUACAUUUUUGAAGAGCCAAAACAACAAUAAUCGGCAUUUUUGAGGUAGGGCUGAAAUUCUCCGAUGGAUUGACUGGGAAACCACCCCUGGCGCCAUAAAUUUGCGAACGGCGACUACAAGGAACAGGAAAAAGGACGAGGUGCUGGAAUAAAUUAAAGAAAUGAAAACUGAACAUUAAUUAAACUCGGUGAAUACCUCAAAGAAAUGAGUGAACUAAGAGCAGAAAAUACGCAAAUGAAAGCAGAAAUUAAAGAAUUACGAGAAGAAAUGGAAACGCUAAGUAAACUAAAAUUUAAGGAGGCAGUGCCAAAGAGACAUAAAAUACAUUUUAGAAAGGAUUCAGGUGGUACACAUUAUUAACUCUUCCUUUAGAAAUUCGUGGCUUUAAAUGUAAUAAAGUUGCCGCCACCAAGAUAAUUAUUUCCUUUACUGGCAGUUUACUCGCUUCCAAAAAGGUCCCUUUCUUUGUCGAUAGAGUAAAGCCACAUCUUUCGGGUUUUUGCCUUUAGUGACAAUAGAACAUUUUAUCUAUUAUGUAACUGAAAUAUUAUAAAUAAAAUGAACAUUUUAUAUUUUUUGCUGUUGGAACUAUGGCACUUCUGGUUUUAAAGAUUCAUCAUCAACUUAUCAUACACUUUUGGGUUAUUAAGAUUGAUCCUGUAUCGUAUUAACACUUUUUCAAAAAGUAUUGAUUUUAUAAAUAAAUAUAAACUUUCACCACGCAAGAACUGCAAUAAGGUAUCACUAAAUACUCUUUUUAUUAUAGGCAAGUAACAAAUUGUUUCUGAGUUUUUUGAUCACUUUAAUAUAUGAAAUCUAGGUCUACAAUAUCCCUAUUAAAAACUAAAUGUUACUUUGUAAAUUUAUCGUUCUAUAUAUUAAGAGUAGGUAUUAUAAGUCAAAAAUGAAUAUUUUUUAUGCUCUCUGCUGAAAUAAUUAUUACAACUUACAACUAAAUAUCAAAAUGGUGAUGAAAUAUGAUCCAUAAUUGUAGUAAUUAACUAUUUUACUUUCUGUUUUGAUAAUUACAUAAUUUUUAAGUUCAAAAUAUAGAAGAAUGCAGAAAGGUCUUUAUUACGACUUAUACUCUUAGUAAAUAGCACGUUAGAGAUAUUAUACUAUAUAUUUGGCGACACCUAUUAUUUUAUACACCCCGUAGAUGCUAAACGCUAGUAGAUAGAACUAAUAUUCAAGUUGGAAAGACGAUUUUAGAUGCUUUACCCAAAAAUGGCAGUGGCCAGAUCCAGAUGCUAUGCAAACUUGAUUUCAGCUUUUAAGAGUGUUUUGACUAAAAAAUAAAAGUAAUGAAUCAUUAAAUUAAGGUGGAAAAGCACUAAAUACAUAAAAUACAAGUUUUCGUUAGUCGACUCCUUUAAACGGUUUUCCUUUUAGAAUUUACUAUAUGUAGACUUGUUGUUUUGGGGUAUACAUAUCAACAUUCUACACUAUAUUCAGUAUUUUUGUGUGCAACUAUUUCUAUGAGCAUAUGUGGUUUCAGAUUAGGUUGGUUUUUGUAGUUAGAGCUUUAUUUACAUUAUGUAUUUUAUUACUUACUCUUGAUACUGAAUAAAGCAUUUUGCUAUA
rnacentral:misc_RNA from 1 species